UCUGCUCCAUCAAGAUCCGCUGGGCAUUCUGGUUUGCUUCCGAAAGUCUUCACCCAGGUGAGGAGGCGGAGCAUGCACUUGCAUGGCAACACACAUCAAAAAGCAGGAAACAUAAUACCAUCCAGACAGAAACUGUGCUGGAGAAAGAGCUGAGAUCUUGAUCCAAAG